rnacentral:lncRNA from 1 species
GUAAUUUGCUCUUGAUGGAUCCUUUGGGACUCACAGCGGGGGCAGAUGAUGGUUCAGUGGUUCAGAUGCUAUGCCUGCGAGCAUGCGCAGAGGGAGAUCGUUAUCCCAAACAAACGUAGUUGCACGCCACUAACGAAGGGCCCGACGAGAGGAUUUUGUAAACCAGCUUGCCAACCCGAAUUUUGUACCAAUCCACUGUCAACAGUACACAAUGCCAUGUGGGCCAUAUGUAUUUGGACAUGCAUCAUGUGAGAAAUAGUUAAGCUACUCGCCAGAGGCCACCGACCUACUUAACAAUGGACUCCCAUGUGACCCACGGAAAUCAGCAAACCACAUGCAUUGUUCCUGUACACUGUACAUGGUAUUCUGACAUGAUAAUUGAC